UGAUGGCUGAGGAGGGAGCUCAGCAGACAGAAGAGGACACAUUUUCCACGCAUAAAACCGCUUUGGCCACCAAGCCAGUCGUCAAGCUAGAAUGAACAAAGAACUGCCAUCUGCUCUGCCCCUUAUAUAAGAAAAACACCACCAGAAAGAUGUCUCCAUUGCUAGGAGAUUCAACCUCUCCAGUAUUCUCAUUCGAAAGAUGUCUUGAAUCUAGAGUACUGUUUCUCAUGGAAUGCAUUCAACCAGGCUCUGGAGAUCUGGACGCUCAGGCUUGAGGCUUCUCACAAGCUCCUAAGCACCGAUGAUGCUUUGUUCUGUGGGAAGCAGGGAUCUGAAGCAUGGAACAACAGCUUCUAAAAUCACACACCAAGAGCUGUUUCUACAGCACUACUUUAAUAAGGAUUUUCCUUGGCAGGAAACCACCAGGAAACCGACAAAUCUAGUUUAAAGCCCAAAUCAAAUCAUUUGCUGGAGAGAAUCUCUUGUACUGAAUGGAAGCUUCACCCAUCAAUCAAAAGCUGAUUGGUCAAUGAGCUGAGGCAGGAAAUAGGAGGUUGGAGUUUCGACAGAGAGAGGAACUCUGGGAUAGAGUCACGUUGCAAGCAUUCAACCAGAACUCUGAGGAAGCCGGCCACGUGAAACUGAAGGACCAAGUUGUUAGUAUGCUUCCGGCCGUUUCUUCUGGCAUUUCCCAGAGUUUCUAUGCUGUCUAUUCAUCUGUGAAAGAAGGGAAGAAAGUGACUACUCUUUAUCUGGGAGAAGAAAUGAAGUGCUGCUACUUACUCUUUGUGGCUACGGAUGCUCAAGUAGAGAUGCGAUGAGUGGUUUUGAAGUCUUUUCUUGAUGAUGAGAUCUAAUUUAGCACACUGUGCUAAAUGUCAUACAGUAGGACAGCAGGCCAGAGGUAGACACCAGACAGGAGGGAAGGACGAUCAUCUAAUUCCAGAACACUGAGAACAGUGGGAGUGGAUGACUUUACAAAUAAUCAGCAGAAACCAUCACGUCAGAAUGCUCUGAACCACAAAAGCUGAAACUCCCACAGUCUGAGACCUCCCACAGCUCACAACAGAAGACCCCAUGAAGGCCAGCCUCUCCUGUGUUCUCUCCAUGGCAUCGCUUCCAGAUUCUUAAGAACUUUACGUUUUGUGUUUACUUCUGUCAUCCCUUGGUCUCUUUGUGAGGCCAUUCAUCAAUCAUUCUUAAGUCUACUCCAUGCAACAGAACAAAAUUUCCUUGUUUAAAACUAGCCCAGUCCCAGACAUUUUGAAAGAGGAGUCUGGGAUUUCUGCUUACAUUUCUUUAGCGAUACACGGUUAGAUAUUUAGACAAGGUAAGCAGUUGUUCCAGUCUACGACCCACUCCUACUUGAACCUCACAGUUCAUGCUCACUGAGGUCCACGGCUCUCCGUGUCUAUGUCUGACAGCUGUUCACCUUGAAUGGGCUGAGCUAAAAUGCCUUUAGCCCAGCUUUCGUGUCUUAAUACCAUACUCUCCUCCUGUAAGCCCCAGUCCCCCCUGUCUUUCUAAUCUACUUUUUUUUUUCAAACUGCUAAGAUAGCUUCCCUCUGAGCUCUCACUUUGCUAUCUCCAUGGACAAAGAUUCUAGGCAUUAAACCUACACCUAGUUGAUGGUGCCUUAGCUCUGAACAUGCCUGUUUAUCCAUAUGAGCAACAGUCUGCAGCAUCUCACAGGAUGUCAAGUGCUAUGUGUUUAAAACUAAAUGUGAUCUUUUUUCUCAAAAUCUCUUCUUCUUGGGUAUUUAACACACUGAGACAUCAGGUGCCCAUUUCCC
ensembl:lncRNA